GUAUCUUUACUUUCAACCUGUUUUAAAUCGAACUGUUUGAGCUAGGCUAUUUAUUUGAAGAAGACAGUCCUAUGCUUCUACUGUACUCCAGCGGUCAGCCUCACUUACUAAGCUAAGUUGAAUCAUCAUGUUCUUGUUAAAGGCACCUCCCUGGAUUUUGCAAUACCAUAAAACAAAUCAUCCACCAUCUGCUCCUCUCAACACAGAUGGCUCCAGUAGGGUGUCAGCUGAGUUGAUUCACUAUGUUUUUGUUUAGGGCCCUUCCCUAGUUUCCUCCUUCUCCUCUACAGACAAAAUUCAAUCAUCUGAUUUAAUUCCUGUUCAGCUACAACUCAUAAAUACCAAAAAACAAAUAAUUCACCAUCUUUUCAGAGCUGCCCGGUUGACAGUUGCACAUGCCUAAUCCCAGAGCAACAACAAUAUAAUUACUAACAAUAACCUUCCCAUGGCAUGAAAAUCUCUGCUACACAACUAGAUUCAAUGCUGAACAAAGACAUCCUUCCGCAUGUAUUUGAUGAACCCAAGCCAGUGAUAGUAACGUUUCAUGCUGUGCGUACAGACUUAAUUAGUUGAGCUUGCCUGUGCAGCUACCUAAGCGUAUCAGUUAAGCAUACCAAAGAUGUGGGUCACAUGUCAGUAGACAAGCUGUUUACUCUGAACAUAAACCGACAUUUCUUGAUAUUUAACAGUUGACCUUCAACUGAUACACAUCAUUCAGUAUUUCUAUUGAAAUUGUACUCGGUGAAGUAAAGUGACAAAUAGUUGGUCGCCAGGGCAGCACCAUUGCUCUCAAUUAGAUAUAAUGGUCUUAGGGAGACCAGUGACUUCCAGUGCUGUUUUUAGCCACAUCUCUGUUUAAUCAGCUGAAGAGCACUUACAGCUCAGCUGCCCACACACAUUUUGACAACUCCAAUGUGUGUGAAAAUGUAAUGGGAUUUUUACUGCACACUGAAUUAAUCAGGAAAAGCUUGAUAUACCUGCUUGUCUUAAAAGCACAGUAAAACAUCAACAUGUCAUUAUUUAAUCAAGCCAUUGUGAAUGUCAUUGUAAAACAAUUGUAGCAGUAAAUGAUGGCAGUAAGAGCUUAAACCCAGAUGAUGUUUGAUAUUGAUAUGUUUCGAGGGGAUUAAAGAUGUAGUGACACUAUUUCUGA